CCUACGGGGGACAGCAGUGGGGAAUAUUGCGCAAUGGGCGCAAGCCUGACGCAGCGACGCCGCGUGAGGGAUGAAGGUCUUCGGAUCGUAAAGCACUGUCAGCAGGGAAGAACGGUCACAGUGCUAAUCAGCAGUGAAUUGACGGUACCUGCAAAGGAAGCACCGGCUAACUCCGUGCCAGCAGCCGCGGUAAUACGGAGGGUGCGAGCGUUAAUCGGAAUUACUGGGCGUAAAGCGCACGUAGGCGGUAUGUCAAGUCAAGGGUGAAAUCCCCGGGCUUAACGUGGGAAUUGCCUCUGAAACUGGCAAGCUAGAGUGUGUGAGAGGAUAGUGGAAUUCCAGGUGUAGGGGUGAAAUCCGUAGAGAUCUGGAGGAACAUCAGUGGCGAAGGUGACCAUCUGGCACAUGACUGACGCUGAGGUGCGAAAGCGUGGGGAGCAAACAGGAUUAGAUACCCCUGUAGUC
rnacentral:rRNA from 1 species